GACGAACCGUCCAAACGUUGUUCGGAAUCACUGGGCGUAAAGGGCGCGUAGGUGGCGCGGUGAGUCAACGGUGAAAGCUCGACGCUCAACGUCGAGUCGGCCGUCGAUACUGCCGCGCUGGAGCACUGUAGAGGCUCAUGGAAUUCCGGGUGUAGCGGUGGAAUGCGUAGAGAUCCGGAAGAACACCGGUGGCGAAGGCGGUGAGCUGGGCAGUAGCUGACACUGAGGCGCGACAGCGUGGGGAGCAACAGG
rnacentral:rRNA from 1 species